UACGUAGGGGGCUAGCGUUGUCCGGAAUCAUUGGGCGUAAAGCGCGCGUAGGCGGCCAGAUAAGUCCGGUGUGAAAGUCACAGGCUCAACCUGUGAAUGCCGCUGGAAACUGUCUGGCUAGAGUCCGGAAGGGGCGAGUGGAAUUCCUGGUGUAGCGGUGAAAUGCGCAGAUAUCAGGAGGAACACCAAUGGCGAAGGCAGCUCGCUGGAACGGUACUGACGCUGAGGUGCGAAAGCGUGGGGAGCGAACAGG
rnacentral:rRNA from 1 species